CCUACGGGGGGCAGCAGUGAGGAAUAUUGGUCAAUGGGCGGGAGCCUGAACCAGCCAAGUCGCGUGAGGGAAGACGGUCCUAUGGAUUGUAAACCUCUUUAGGCGGGGAGCAAUGCCGGGCACGCGUGUCCGGAGGGAGAGUACCCGCAGAAUAAGCAUCGGCUAACUCCGUGCCAGCAGCCGCGGUAAUACGGAGGAUGCGAGCGUUAUCCGGAUUUAUUGGGUUUAAAGGGUGCGUAGGCGGGAUGCCAAGUCAGCGGUCAAAUACGUGGGCUCAACCUGCGUCCGCCGUUGAAACUGGCGUU
rnacentral:rRNA from 1 species